rnacentral:lncRNA from 1 species
GUCUUCCCAGUAGGCGGGCGCUCUUUUGGACUUCCAUUUUGGAGCAGAGGUGUCUCUUCCAUGAUAUAUAAACCAGGAAAAAUGGAUGAAAGUGAAAAAGUAGUAAAUUUAGAUUUGAUGUCAAGAGAAAAAUAUCCAAAACAUUCCAGCUAUUCAAAACGUGGAUUGGACUAUCUUGAGUGGAUGUGCCUUCACUGAUGGUCUUCAACAGUGACUGGAUGAACAUUUGGGAGGCAAAGUGUUGAUUGAACAUGACCUUGGAAUCAUCUGGGGCUGUGAAAAGUGGACUGCAUUCUAUUCUUACCAUGAGAUCAUUUAUUUCUUCUUCCUAUGGUUCUUACCCAUAUGCUUUCUACCACACAUUUCUCUUUACAUGUAAGUAUGAUUAACUGACUU